rnacentral:rRNA from 1 species
UACGAAGGGGGCUAGCGUUGCUCGGAAUCACUGGGCGUAAAGGGUGCGUAGGCGGGUCUUUAAGUCAGGGGUGAAAUCCUGGAGCUCAACUCCAGAACUGCCUUUGAUACUGAAGAUCUUGAGUUCGGGAGAGGUGAGUGGAACUGCGAGUGUAGAGGUGAAAUUCGUAGAUAUUCGCAAGAACACCAGUGGCGAAGGCGGCUCACUGGGUCUUUUCUGACGCUGAUGCACGAAAGCUAGGGGAGCAAACGGG